AGGCCAUGGUGUGGGCAAACUCUUAAUAGCUCUUUAUAUCUCUCUCCCAAGCUUCAAAAAGUGAUUCUCCUUGGUUUUGAGUAAAUCUAGUUAUUUGGUUUUGAAGAAC